AACAAUAUAGAACCAAAAGCUUUUGACUGUAUAAAAUGAUUUUUAUAACGUAUUCCAAACAGUAAUCCUUUGUUGCAAUGUCCACUUAUUGUUGGAUAAUAUGGAGCUCAACAUUCGCGAAGUAUAGUUGAAAUGUAAGAUAACAGUUUGUCUAACGGUUUGGGCUUGAUUUUUCGUUACACACUAAUACAGGGACAUUUAACUAUAUUUUACUUUUUUGCAACAGUUUGGCAAACUGUUAAAUACAUUAUUGCGUUCAAUGUAACGCUUAAAAAUUUUCACCAACAAAUUAUCAUUAUUAUUACGACUAUGAGAUGCAUAUUGGCUGUGUAAAUUUCAGAACAAUAAAAAAUACAUUUGCUUUUUUACAUAACUCGACCGAUAAAGUGGGAAAACAUUAAUAAUAUGCGUUGUUCUUCUUUCUUUAAAAAAUCGUUCUAUGCAAUAAAAACUUCAUGCAUUUAAUGAAUAUGAAACUGUGUUAAUUGUUUUGCGGGUGUAUGUUUUCGACAGCCUGUGAAAAAAACAAAACAUCAACCGCUUGAACGUUUUUGCGGUCGAUUUUACAAAUCCUAGUAGAAUUAAGUUUUAAAGUUAUCUGAAUACAUCUUUGUGGACGAUUACGUGACAAACAGUAUUUUGCUGAAUUCCUCAUCUCAAAUGCAACGCAGGUACCACCGUUGGAAGCAAACAAAUUGCUGCAAAACCAGCCUGCAAAAUGACUUGUGUUGUCGUCUGCAUGAGCUCUGUCAGCAACAAAAUUGAUCGUUGAUAGGAAAAAUGGAAUUGGACCAACUAAAACCAGUGGCAGGACUGGUCCAGCUGGAAACCUUUUUGUGAUGUAUUCUGCCGGAUGUCGUUCAAAGCUCAUCUCGCCACACGGCUCAACUGGAAGUUUUAUGCGCGCAUCGACCUGAGAUGUAUGGCAAGAGUUUUACAUGUCAGCCCGGCCCGGCGGAAGGUUUUCUCUCGAACGAAGAGCUACAGUGAUGGUGCAUCUGGUGCAUGAUAAAUUUAGGAUUAUGUGAUGAAUAAUAGUGUUUAUGAUGUUUUUAUCACUACAGAGUGGUGAAAAUAGUGUAAUAUAAAUUAAAAUAGUGACAGUGUCGGUCAGUUUUUUACUGCUAUAUAUAGAAAUAAAUAUAUAAAAAUUACUACGUCCGGAACGUGUGACAGAACCUAAUAAAAUGCAGUUAUGUACUUAAUAUGAUCGGAUAAUUAAAUUGUGAUAGAUAUUUUUUCGA